GUGCCAGCAGCCGCGGUAAUACAGAGGUCUCAAGCGUUGUUCGGAUUCAUUGGGCGUAAAGGGUGCGUAGGCGGCGCGGUAAGUCGGGUGUGAAAUCUCGGAGCUUAACUCCGAAACUGCAUUCGAUACUGCCGUGCUUGAGGACUGGAGAGGAGACUGGAAUUUACGGUGUAGCGGUGAAAUGCGUAGAUAUCGUAAGGAAGACCAGUGGCGAAGGCGGGUCUCUGGACAGUUCCUGACGCUGAGGCACGAAGGUCAGGGGAGCAAACGGGAUUAGAUACCCCGGUAGUCC
rnacentral:rRNA from 1 species